rnacentral:rRNA from 1 species
GCUAUUCGGCGUCGAGCGGCGGACGGGUGAGUAAUGCUUGGGAAUAUGCCUUUAGGUGGGGGACAACAGUUGGAAACGACUGCUAAUACCGCAUAAUGUCUACGGACCAAAGGGGGGGAUCUUCGGACCUCUCGCCUAUAGAUUAGCCCAAGUGAGAUUAGCUAGUUGGUGAGGUAAUGGCUCACCAAGGCGACGAUCUCUAGCUGGUUUGAGAGGAUGAUCAGCCACACUGGGACUGAGACACGGCCCAGACUCCUACGGGAGGCAGCAGUGGGGAAUAUUGCACAAUGGGCGAAAGCCUGAUGCAGCCAUGCCGCGUGUGUGAAGAAGGCCUUCGGGUUGUAAAGCACUUUCAGUUGUGAGGAAAGGGGUGUAGUUAAUAACUGCAUUCUGUGACGUUAACAACAGAAGAAGCACCGGCUAACUUCGUGCCAGCAGCCGCGGUAAUACGAGGGGUGCAAGCGUUAAUCGGAAUUACUGGGCGUAAAGCGUACGUAGGCGGUUUGUUAAGCAAGAUGUGAAAGCCCCGGGCUCAACCUGGGAACUGCAUUUUGAACUGGCAAACUAGAGUACUGUAGAGGGUGGUGGAAUUUCCAGUGUAGCGGUGAAAUGCGUAGAGAUUGGAAGGAACAUCAGUGGCGAAAGCGGCC